AGUAUAUAUUUAAGUUGUUGCGGUUAAAAAGUUCGUAGUUGGAUUUUGGGCGCAGGCGGCCGGUCCGUCGCAAGGCGUGUACUGGACGUCCUGGCCUUCCCUCCGGUUCUCCGCCGGUGCUCUUGACUGAGUGUCGGCGGCGGCCGGAACGUUUACUUUGAAAAAAUUAGAGUGUUCAAAGCAGGCUCUCGAGCCUGGAUAAUGGUGCAUGGAAUAAUGGAAUAGGACCUCGGUUCUAUUUUGUUGGUUUUCGGAGCGCGAGGUAAUGAUUAAGAGGGACAGACGGGGGCAUUCGUACUGUGCCGUUAGAGGUGAAAUUCUUGGAUCGGCGCAAGACGAACGACUGCGAAAGCAUUUGCCAAGAAUGUUUUCUUUAAUCAAGAGCGAAAGUCAGAGGUUCGAAGACGAUCAGAUACCGUCCUAGUUCUGACUAUAAACGAUGCCAACUAGCGAUCGGGGGGCGUUACAUUGACGACCCCUCCGGCAGCUUACGGGAAACCAAAGUCUUUGGGUUCCGGGGGAAGUAUGGUUGCAAAGCUGAAACUUAAAGGAAUUGACGGAAGGGCACCACCAGGAGUGGAGCCUGCGGCUUAAUUUGACUCAACACGGGAAAUCUCACCCGGCCCGGACACAGUGAGGAUUGACAGAUUGAGAGCUCUUUCUUGAUUCUGUGGGUGGUGGUGCAUGGCCGUUCUUAGUUGGUGGAGCGAUUUGUCUGGUUAAUUCCGAUAACGAACGAGACUCUGGCUUGCUAAAUAGUUACGCGACCAUCCCGGUCGGCGUUUAACUUCUUAGAGGGACAAGUGGCGUUUAGCCACACGAGAUUGAGCAAUACAAGUCUGUGAUGCCCUA
rnacentral:ncRNA from 1 species